AUAUGAUUUUGGAUAAUUACUCUUAAAUUUCAGUGAUGGACUCUUCUCUUUUUCAAAUAUAGCUAAAUUUGGAACCCUCUCAUCCUCCCAACACCAUUGAUUCCACUGCAUGUUACACCUUUAGACAUCAUAAUAAUAGAAAAUAAUUGACAUAUUUUUGCAGUUGUGCUCCAAUUGGUCAUUUCUGUGAUAAUUUUGCUACUGUUAGUUCAAAAUUUCGUGUUUAUUUAUUCACAAAUGCUUUGAAAUAUCAAUGCAACAAUUGU
rnacentral:misc_RNA from 1 species